rnacentral:rRNA from 1 species
AGGACGAACGCUGGCGGCGUGCCUAAUACAUGCAAGUAGAACGCUGAAGGAGGAGCUUGCUCUUCUGGAUGAGUUGCGAACGGGUGAGUAACGCGUAGGUAACCUGCCUGGUAGCGGGGGAUAACUAUUGGAAACGAUAGCUAAUACCGCAUAAGAGUAGAUGUUGCAUGACAUUUACUUAAAAGGUGCAAAUGCAUCACUACCAGAUGGACCUGCGUUGUAUUAGCUAGUUGGUGGGGUAACGGCUCACCAAGGCGACGAUACAUAGCCGACCUGAGAGGGUGAUCGGCCACACUGGGACUGAGACACGGCCCAGACUCCUACGGGAGGCAGCAGUAGGGAAUCUUCGGCAAUGGACGGAAGUCUGACCGAGCAACGCCGCGUGAGUGAAGAAGGUUUUCGGAUCGUAAAGCUCUGUUGUAAGAGAAGAACGAGUGUGAGAGUGGAAAGUUCACACUGUGACGGUAUCUUACCAGAAAGGGACGGCUAACUACGUGCCAGCAGCCGCGGUAAUACGUAGGUCCCGAGCGUUGUCCGGAUUUAUUGGGCGUAAAGCGAGCGCAGGCGGUUAGAUAAGUCUGAAGUUAAAGGCUGUGGCUUAACCAUAGUACGCUUUGGAAACUGUUCAACUUGAGUGCAAGAGGGGAGAGUGGAAUUCCAUGUGUAGCGGUGAAAUGCGUAGAUAUAUGGGAGGAACACCGGUGGCGAAAGCGGCUCUCUGGCUUGUAACUGACGCUGAGGCUCGAAAGCGUGGGGAGCAACAGGAUUAG